AUUGAACGCUGGCGGCAGGCCUAACACAUGCACGUCGAACGAGUGGCGGACGGGUGAGUAAUGUCUGAGAAACUGCCUGAUGGAGGGGGAUAACUACUGGAAACGGUCGCUAAUACCGCAUACCAUCCGAUGUGACACGAUGGGAUUGGCUUGGUGGUGGGGUAACGGAUCACAAAGGCAACGAUCCCUAGCUGGUCUGAGAGGCGGACCGGCCACACUGGAACUGAGACACGGUCCAGAGUCCUACGGGAGGCAGCAGUGGGGAAUAUUGCACAAUGGGCGAAAGCCGGAUGCAGCCAUGCCGCGGGUAUGAAGAAGUUCUUCGGAUUGUAAAGCAAUUUAAGUUGGGAGGCGUGACCAACAGAAUAAGCACCGGCUAACUUCGUGCCAGAAGCCGCGGUAAUUC
rnacentral:rRNA from 1 species